GGCAGCUCAAAAAAAUGUGAAGAAGAUUUCAGCAGCUACUUUUGAUCACUGUUCAUGGUGCUACAGAAGUCUUGUUUUCAGCAAAAGGUCUUUAUGAGUUAAUAAUAUAUGCUCAAUAAUGCACCUUUUAAACCCACUAUUUAGCAGCCAUAUUGCUGAAAUGCACAAGUAAAGUCAGGUCCAUGCAUCACAAAAGCAACACAAAAUGAACUGUAUGCUUCCAAUCAUGGAAUUUCUUUCAGAUGGUGAACAUUAAGCAUUUCUUUGCUGCUGUUACAAAGAAUCUACUUGGAAAGUGGGGAUCUAAGGCAUUCACCCUCAUCACAUGAGGGGGGCGAGGGCAUGUGCGCACUGGACCCACUGUCUCCCUCAAGUCCUUCCUCAUUCCCCAUCCUGCCACCCUCCACAUUUUGUCCAGGAAAAAUCAGUAGAAGAGAGCCUGCUCUAGGUGGGUAGGGUCCCAAUGUGAUUUAGAACCCCCAAAUCCAGGGUGAAAUUGAAGGAUUCUGCACAGGCAAAAUAUCUUAAGAAUUCUAAGGAAAGGUCAAAGCGUUUUGAUAAGAUUAAUGGUAUGGGGGGGGAGUGUUGUAUCCGAGCACCCUGCCUUUUCAACAUUUCCACACGCACAUGAAGAUUCUGCUGGUGCUAGGUCAGGCAUCCCCAAACUCAGCCCUCCAGAUGUUUUGGGACUACAACUCCCAUCAUCCCUAGCUAACAGGACCAGUGGUCAGGGAUGAUGGGAAUUGUAGUCCCAAAACAUCUGGAGGGUUGAGUUUGGGGAUGCCUGUGCUAGCUCUUUGACCUGUAUAUGUUUUGAUGAGAGUGCUCAAUUUGUUUGUGUAUCAGUCAUCCGGAAAUCCUUGUAUGAAAGUGCAAAAAAAAUUGUUGAAGCAAAUAAGUGAGUGGCAACAUACUCCUAUCCAUGCUUACUCAGAAGUAAGUCCAGUUCAAUUCAAUGGGGCUUGCUCCUGGGUAAAUAGGGGUGAGGAAUGCAGCACAUGUAAAGAAAUAAAUUUAGUCCAAGGAUUAUUCUUGGGAUACGAGUCCUCUGGUCUCAGGGUUUUUGUUCCCUAACUUGCUUUUUUCUUGUCUGCGAUGCUAAUGUUGUAUAAUAAUGGCAUGCUUGUUGUUACUGUGGAUAUCCAAUCACCCAGGGACUAUUUGUGCUUUUGUGGAUAGAUCUUGUUCCCUAUCACUUCCACUCAUGGCUGAAAGAAUGGACUACAGCUGCCAGUUUCCAACACAAUUAAGGCGCAACAUGCUUUCCACAUAAUAAUCAAGGUGCAUUAUUCCUUCUUUAAUCUUGAUAUGUUGUAUUUUGUUAUCGUUGUAGGAAACAAUAACAUGUUUUAAUUGGAACGGUGAUUUGACGGUUCUAUG